rnacentral:tmRNA from 1 species
GGGCAUGUCGGGCUUUGAGAGAAUGCCGAUUCGCAAAUCUGCAGGCCGAGCUGCCGAACCUCGUUAAACUUCGGCAACAAAUAUUAACUGCCAACUCUAAAGUUGCAGCCCCCGCGUUAGCUUUCGCUUAAUGCGGCAUCGGUCUCCAACGUUCCAUAGGAGGCAACCGGUGUAAUAAAUGGAGCUCGCCUCCGGCAAGACGGCUUGGUAGCCGGGGAUUAAAUCACAAAGCCAAAAUUUUCUCGCAAGAGAUAAGUCUGUAGAGGAUUUGUGAUGAUCGUUCUCCACGCCGGUUCAACUCCGGCCAUGUCCACCC